rnacentral:lncRNA from 1 species
AAACACUAUGAGCUAACAGUGGGAACACUUUGUGUCAUUUAGUGAAAUGAGUAAUCCACAGCAAGAUGUCAAUGUUUUUAUGCGACUAGUACUAUAAUGAAGAUAUUAUACCAUUAUAUGCUCUUGAAUCUGUCUCAUUGUGACUUGGCGAAGAGGCAGUGAAUCUGCCAAAAAGAAGUAGAGCAGCUGUGAAGAUGCCAACACAAUUGAGUACUCUUUCUCUACAUAUUUCUAAAUAUGGCAAUUUAUUGGACACUUAUGAGCAUGGAAUGACAAUGGGGUCAAUUUAACCAUACGGCAAUGCUGAGACACCUUCAUUAUGACCUUUCCCUGGUAUAAGUUAUGUGAUAAUGAAUGCAUGUUUAGUCACACACUGUAGGUACAGAUGGGAAAAAAGAAAGCAUAAAAUAUAAAACAUGAUGUCCAGGUUUCA